UAGAGGGUGGAAGAGGCUUGCCAAAAGAAAGUUCCCUGUGUGGUAGUGGCCUGGGAAGAGAAGCAAGAUGUGAACAAGGAGUGAUGUGAGUAGAGAGAAUGUGAACUGACUGACGGCCUUCAGUUUUCUUCCUGUUUAACAAGGUCAGAGGGUGGAUUUGUCUGUGGUUUGGAAAUCUCCCAGAGAGAUGAGGCUGGGAACCAUCAAGAUCUACUGCAGUACAAGAAGCAAUUGAUUGGGCUAAAAUCAGAGCGGAUCCCAUGUUAUUUUCCUGUUUUGGCUUAUUACAAUAACGAAAGCAAGAGGAAACACAGGGAAUAUUUCUGCUGGUGAGUCAUUAGGUUCCUUGUCAUGAGAGUCUAUUCUUCAAAAUGAAUGCGAUCUGCUGAGAAUAUUAUAGUUCAGAUAGGUCAGAACCUGUAGCAAUAUUGUUAUGUACAAGCAGGGAGUCUUCCCACCCAAGAGGAAGUUGUUACUGUAAGUGGAAGAAGGGCUUCAAAGAAACGAGACGAAACUCACAAUGAAAAAAGUCAUAAGGAGCCUUAUGGGGAAGCUGGUAAACAAGGCAAUAUGCAAAGUGAUCCAAAUUGCAUCUGAUUUGUGCAUGGAAGAGCAUUCACAGUUAGGUUAGCAAUCUGAGUCAUAUUUAGGUGAUGGGAAGAGCUGGGAUUUUAUACAGAAACACCUAAGGAGACAGAGAUAUUUGCACAAUCCCUGAAGAUAAUAUUUUUCCUUCUCUUAUUUAUUACGGGAGGAGAUUCAUUGAUUGGUUUACACUACAUGCAUAUUACAUGCAUUUUGGGUGGGUGAAGUUAGGUGUUGAUUACUAUUCUAAGUUAAGUUGAUCACCAUUCUAGUAUUUCUCUGAGUAGAGAAAAGAAAGUCAAACAAUAAAGAAUAGUAUUUUAAAUCA
rnacentral:lncRNA from 1 species